CACGUAGGGCGCAAGCGUUGUCCGGAAUUAUUGGGCGUAAAGAGCUCGUAGGCGGUCUGUUACGUCCGCUGUGAAAACCCGGGGCUUAACCCCUGGCUUGCAGUGGAUACGGACAGACUAGAGGUAGGUAGGGGAGAAUGGAAUUCCCGGUGUAGCGGUGAAAUGCGCAGAUAUCGGGAGGAACACCGGUGGCGAAGGCGGUUCUCUGGGCCGGUACUGACGCUGAGACGCGAAAGCGUGGGGAGCGAACAGG
rnacentral:rRNA from 1 species